AACGCACAUUGCGCCCCCUGGUAUUCCGGGGGGCAUGCCUGUCCGAGCGUCAUUGCUGCCCUCAAGCACGGCUUGUGUGUUGGGCCCUCGUCCCCCCCCAGUCUGGGGGACGGGCCCUAAAGGCAGCGGCGACACCGCGUCUGGUCCUCGAGCGUAUGGGGCUUUGUCACCCGCUCCCAGGCCCAGCCGGUGCCCGCCGACCCUCAACCAUGUAUUCUCCAGGUUGACCUCGGAUCAGGUAGGGAUACCCGCUGAACUUAA
rnacentral:misc_RNA from 1 species